CAACACCCAAGCCCAUCAGACAGAGAUUUCUGGAAGUCUGGGUGGAAGGGGGAGUAUUUUCAGCGUACAAAAAUAAGAUGGCUUCCACAAUGAAAGUGUAUCGUAUCAUUACGAAAAGAAGACUCUGUGACCACCGAGAUUUCUGCCUUCAUUCUAUGUUCUCUACUGUCACUGAGGCUGGGGAGAAUGAGUAAGGAAUGGAGCAAAAACAGGAGAGAGGCAGAAGUAGCCCCUGAAGGACCAGUUACUGUUCUAUGAUGUCUUCCCUUGGAGAGGUUGGAGAGAAGGAAGAAAAAUCAUCACCCUGUUUCCUCUUGGUCAAUGUGCUGCCAUUUCCCAAUUUCUCUCUGUGAACAGCCUCAUGGACUAACCAAUCCCUGUGACCCCACACCUGGGUGUCAUGGCCCAAAGGACUUCAACUGUCCACCAUCAUCUUCUUCAACAUGAGGAAUCGGUUCAUAUGAUUAUGGAUACUGGAAGCCCAGUAUCUGCAGGAUGGGCUAGCAAUCUGGAGAACAGAUCCAAUGUUGGAGUACAAGUUAGACUACGUUUGUGAUCCGAAUUCCUUCUUACUCAAAGGCCAGUCCCUUUUUCUAUUUUGCCCUCAAUGAGGCUGACCCAUGUUAUUAUAUGAGGGCAUUAGGC
rnacentral:lncRNA from 1 species